GGGUUACUCCUUGGCGCUUGCGCGCUGUUUUGAUGAAGAUUCGCACCUCUAUCAAAACGGGUAACCCCGCCUCUUGGCAAGGCCUUACUGUCAGAUCAAGUCUGAACUUCUACACCUUACUUGAGGCUGCCCGAGAGGAAUUGCUUCAGGCGCUCGCUGCGCGUGUUGCCGAACACCUCGGCGGGCGCGCCU
rnacentral:sRNA from 1 species